rnacentral:rRNA from 1 species
UACGCAGGGUGCGAGCGCUAUCCGGAAUUACUGGGCGUAAAGCGUCCGCAGCUGGGUAUUUAAGUCUGAUGUUAAAACUCCGGGGCCAACUCCGGACUCGUAUCGGAAACUAGGAUACCUAGAGUAAUGCGGAGGUACGAUGGAAUUUGUGGUGUAGGGGUAAAAUCCGUUGAUACCAUAAGGAACACCAAAAGCGAAGGCAGUGUACUGGGCA